UCUCCAAAUAGUUUAGGUUAGC
rnacentral:siRNA from 1 species